AAUUUUUUUUUCAGGGAAGAAAAAAAAAAAAAAAACACAUAUCUGUGGCGUUCUGUGUCCUUCAGACAAUUGCACUGUCUGUGUCUGUGUCUGUCUGUGUGGCUGUCUGCUCAUCUCCCUCAGAUUUGGAGCUGACAGAAUUCAUAUCAGAGGGCUGAGCGCAGGGACAUCUGUGUGCGGAAUGACUGUGCCUACUCGAACCUGCCAAUCGCUCCUGGCACGAGCUGGGAAAGUAAUUAGCCUCUGGCUGAAGAGUCCAGGGCAAGAAUCUGCUGUAUUCAGGAAGGAGGGGAGAAGCAGCAUGACAUUGUGGAAUGUUCUAUAACCUGGGAGAUCCUCCUGAACCAAGAGCUUUGCAUUGGAGAGGCUGACAUGCGACCCCCAGAAGAACAGUGGCUUCAAAGUGGAGUUCUUCCCACCCACCCCGUGUUCUUCCCACACUCCCACCUGGUGUGGUCCCCCAAGAAAUAUGGAUUGGAAGAACAAAUGAAUGAACUCACUGAUGAGGAAACACACCUAGAGAUGAGCCACUGAGUGCCAGAGUGGCUCUGAUCCUGUUCACGAACGUGACCUCCACAGGUCUGGAGAAAUGGGCCUCAACUUCUUCACCAGCUUCCUCCUUCCCAGGGCUGAGGAAAGCUAAAGGUUGGAGUUACUCCAAAAGGCCAAGCCUAUAUAAGAAAUUUCCCGGGAGUUCCCUGGUGGCCCAGGGUUAAUAAUCUGGCUUUGUCACUGCUAAGGCUCGGGUUCAAUCCCUUAGACAGGAGAGGGCCCAGGCACUAGAGGGAGACUGUCAGGGCUGGUGGGAAGAGAGGCCCCACCCAGAGAGGCACAGGAGUGGUGGAGAGCCUGAUAUAAGUUUAGAAAUUAAGUCCAUGCCAGAUUAAGCUCUCUGAAACUCUUUUUUUUUUUUUUUUUUUUUUUAGGGCCACACCCACGCAUAUGGAGGUUCCCAGGCUUGGGCUUGAAUCGGAGCUGUAACCACUGGCCUACAGCCACAGCCACAGCAACGCCAGAUCUGAGCCGCAUCUGCAACCUACAGCAGAGCUCACAGCAAUGCCGGAUCCUUAACCCACUGAGUGAGGCCAGGGAUCAAACCUGUGUCCUCAUGGAUACUAGUCAGAUUUGUUAACUGCUGAGCCACGACGGGAAUUCCUGAAAACUCUUGAACCAAGAUUUGAUAAGCUUCUGAGUUGGUGAGUGCAUCCAUGUACUGGGAAGGUGGUGCACCCCAGUUCCACCGGGACCCUUUAGGACCUUGCCCUGUGUGCUUCUUCAUCUGCUGUUCUUUUGUGUCCUUUAUAAUAAACUGGUAAAUGUUAAAAAAAAAAAAAUGGCGUUCUCACUGCAGCAAGGUGGGUUAGGAAUCCAACUGCAGAGGUGUCGGUCACUGCAGAGA
rnacentral:lncRNA from 9 species